rnacentral:rRNA from 1 species
UACGUAGGGGGCAAGCGUUGUCCGGAUUUAUUGGGCGUAAAGAGCGUGUAGGCGGCUAGAUAGGUCCGUUGUGAAAACUCGAGGCUCAACCUCGAGACGCCGAUGGAAACCAUCCAGCUAGAGUCCGGAAGAGGAGAGUGGAAUUCCCGGUGUAGCGGUGAAAUGCGCAGAUAUCAGGAGGAACACCAGUGGCGAAAGCGGCCACCUGGACUGUACCUGACGCUCAAACGCGAAAGCUAGGGGAGCGAACGGG